rnacentral:rRNA from 1 species
UGGGGAAUUUUGGACAAUGGGCGAAAGCCUGAUCCAGCAAUGCCGCGUGUGUGAAGAAGGCCUUCGGGUUGUAAAGCACUUUUGUCCGGAAAGAAAUCCUCUGGGUUAAUACCUCGGGGGGAUGACGGUACCGGAAGAAUAAGCACCGGCUAACUACGUGCCAGCAGCCGCGGUAAUACGUAGGGUGCAAGCGUUAAUCGGAAUUACUGGGCGUAAAGCGUGCGCAGGCGGUUUUGUAAGACGGAUGUGAAAUCCCCGGGCUUAACCUGGGAACUGCAUUCGUGACUGCAAGGCUAGAGUAUGGCAGAGGGGGGUUAGAAUUCCACGUGUAGCAGUGAAAUGCGUAGAGAUGUGGAGGAAUACCGAUGGCGAAGGCAGCCCCCUGGGCCAAUACUGACGCUCAUGCACGAAAGCGUGGGGAGCAAACAGGAUUAGAUACCCUGGUAGUCCACGCCCUAAACGAUGUCAACUAGUUGUUGGGGAUUCAUUUCCUUAGUAACGUAGCUAACGCGUGAAGUUGACCGCCUGGGGGAGUACGGUCGCAAGAUU